rnacentral:rRNA from 1 species
UGGGGAAUAUUGCACAAUGGAGGGAACUCUGAUGCAGCGACGCCGCGUGAACGAAGAAGGUUUUCGAGUCGUAAAGCUCUUUUAUAUGGGAAGAUAAUGACGGUACCAUAAGAAAAAGCCCCGGCUAACUACGUGCCAGCAGCCGCGGUAAUACGUAGGGGGCUAGCGUUGUCCGGAAUCACUGGGCGUAAAGGGUUCGCAGGCGGAAAUGCAAGUCAGGUGUAAAAGGCAGUAGCUUAACUACUGUAAGCAUUUGAAACUGCAUAUCUUGAGAAGAGUAGAGGUAAGUGGAAUUUUUAGUGUAGCGGUGAAAUGCGUAGAUAUUAAAAAGAAUACCGGUGGCGAAGGCGACUUACUGGGCUAAUUCUGACGCUGAGGAACGAAAGCGUGGGUAGCAAACAGG